ACGGCUCAGUAACGCGUAGUCAAUCUACCCUGUUGACGGGGAUAACCUCGGGAAACUGAGAAUAAUACCCGAUAGAACAUUAUGCCUGGAAUGGUUUAUGUUUCAAAUGAUUUAUCGCAAUAGGAUGGGACUGCGGCCUAUCAGUUUGUUGGUGAGGUAAUGGCCCACCAAGACUAUUACAGGUACGGGCUCUGAGAGGAGUGGCCCGGAGAUGGGUACUGAGACACGGACCCAGGCCCUAUGGGGCGCAGCAGGCGAGAAAACUUUGCAAUGUGCGAAAGCACGACAAGGUUAAUCCGAGUGGUUUCUGCUAAAGAAACCUUUUGUCAGUCCUAGAAACACUGAUGAAUAAGGGGUGGGCAAGUUCUGGUGUCAGCCGCCGCGGUAAAACCAGCACCUCAAGUGGUCAGGAUGAUUAUUGGGCCUAAAGCAUCCGUAGCUUGUUUUGUAAGUUUUCGGUUAAAUCCAUACGCUUAACGUAUGGGCUGCCGGGAAUACUGCAUAACUAGGAAGUGGGAGAGGUAGACGGUACUCGGUAGGAAGGGGUAAAAUCCUUUGAUCUAUUGAUGACCACCUGUGGCGAAGGCGGUCUACCAGAACACGUUCGACGGUGAGGGAUGAAAGCUGGGGGAGCAAACCGGAUUAGAUACCCGGGUAGUCCCAGCUGUAAACUAUGCAAACUCAGUGAUGCAUUGGCUUGUGGCCAAUGCAGUGCUGCAGGGAAGCCGUUAAGUUUGCCGCCUGGGAAGUACGUACGCAAGUAUGAAACUUAAAGGAAUUGGCGGGGGAGCCC
rnacentral:rRNA from 1 species